rnacentral:rRNA from 1 species
GUCUGGUGCCAGCAGCCGCGGUAACUCCAGCUCCAAUAGCAUAUAUUAAAAUUGCUGCAGUUAAAAAGCUCGUAGUUGGAUCUGGGUUCUGGUUUGGAGAUUGCUUGCUUAUAGUGGAGUGACUUUCAUGAAGCUUUUGCAGCGGUUUCUAGGCCGAAUCUUUCAGCUGUGUCUGCAUAAGACUUCGGUCUUGUGUAGAUAGAUUCGUUGUGUGUAAGUUCCCUCACGGGUCUUCGCCUUCGUUUCUAUACGCUGUAAUGCCUUUAACCGGGUGUUCAGUGUGGACAGCACGUUUACUUUGAACAAAUUUGAGUGCUCAAAGCASGCCUUGU